rnacentral:tRNA from 1 species
GGAGAGAUGACUCAGCGGUUAGAGCACUGGCUGUUCUUCCAGAGGACCUGGGUUUGAGUCCCUGUCCCCUCG